UUUGCGCGGGAUUGGCGCUCGCGCAGUCAUGGCGGCCUUCCGCGACAUGGAGGAGCUGUGCCAGGGGCUGCUGAGCCUCCUGGGCGCCAACCACGCGGCGGCGCAGCAGCGGCGGCUGCUCGGGCGCUACGGGCAGAUGGUGGAGCGGCUGCUGGAGACGCAGGACGGCGCCGAGCAGCAGCUGCGAGAGAUCCUGAAGGCAGAGAAGGGUGUGGCCCAGAGCCUCCUCGAUGCGAAGGAGCUGGCGAGCCAGGGCGGUGCCGAGUUGCAGCAGAUCGAAGCCAAACUUCAGAAGGCCAGCGAGCAGGACACUCACCUGCAGGCCAGCCUCCUUCAGCUCACCAGGGAGCUGGAGGACCUCAAGGAGGUUGAGGCUGAUCUCGAGAAACAGGAGAAGGAAGUUGACGACGACACGACGGUCACCAUCCCUGCAGCCAUGUAUGUGGCUCAACUUUAUCACCGAAUUAGUAAAAUUGAGUGGGAUUAUGAGUGUGAACCGGGGAUGAUCAAAGGCAUCCAUCGCGGCCCCAGCGUGGCCCAGCCCAUCCACCUGGACAGCACCCAGCUCUCCACCAAGUUCAUCAGCGACUACCUCUGGAGUUUGGUGGACACGGAGUGGUAGCCAGAGCCUCCGGACCGUCUUGCACAGAGUGGGAAUCAUUUGUGGUGUGUGAUGCUGGACUGCCCUGGGCCAGGUAACCAUUGAGAACUGACUUCACUGUGCCAGGCCUGUGACUUCACAGCUGUGACAACACUGUACCCGUGACACCAUAGUGUAUGAAGACAAGUUCCCGGUCUUGAUCAUUUAUUAUUCAAGUUUGGCCCUUUUUUAUUCAUUCAGAGAGUAUCUUUGAGUGCCACAGUGUUAGGCACCAAGACACAGAUGAAGGUGAAAAGGAUCCCUUUGCCCCAGGAGGAGUCACGUGUGAGCCGAUGCCACCCCAGAGCUAUGCCUGGUCAAAACUCAUCCCCCAGCCUCUUGCAGCUAAAUUGAGCCAAUGCAAUGUAAGUGGAAGUGUUGUAUGAAACUUCCAGAAGAAUCCUUAAAAGGCAAGGGAGCGGACCCUCUCUUUCCCCCGCCGUUUACUUUCUGGGGUUUGGGUGUGAUGGCUGGAGACGUGGCAGCCACAUCCCACAAGUGAGGAGGGGUGCGGCGCGAUGGGGGUGACACAGAACUGGUGUCUGAGAUGGGGGAGCUGGUGUCAGCCCUGGACCUCCUUAAAGGGGAAGAAGAGGUUGACCCUGAACUUCCGUGUGUCCCAUUGUUACUUUUGUGUUUCUAUCCCAAACAGUCAAAAUAAACCCUAACCGACGGAACCUA